UACAGAGGUCCCAAGCGUUGUUCGGAUUCACUGGGCGUAAAGGGUGCGUAGGCGGUCGGGUAAGUCUGAUGUGAAAUCCCUCAGCUUAACUGGGGAACUGCGUCUGAUACUGGAUGGCUUGGAUUCGGGAGAGGGAUGCGGAAUUCCAGGUGUAGCGGUGAAAUGCGUAGAUAUCUGGAGGAACACCGGUGGCGAAGGCGGCAUCCUGGACCGAUAUUGACGCUGAGGAGCGAAAGCCAGGGGAGCAAACGGG
rnacentral:rRNA from 1 species